GGGAGAGCGCUGGGAAUGAGCGCUGGGAAUGAGCGCAGCGUUAAAGCCCCGCUGAUACGCGUAAUGAAUCCAAAGGAACCCGCGGCAGCAGAGUUAACACCUCCGCGGGAGGAGGGGGGAAAUAAUCGAGGAAGCAAUUAAUAAAGGGCUUUAAAAAAUCAAUUUCCCCCUGCGCGAAUUGGAAAUGAUGAUGGAGGGGACAGGGAUGGAUCGCUGGGUGUCGGCAGCGCGAGUUGUUGCGCCUUCGUGUCUCGGCCGCGUCCUUCCCCCGGAGUUGGCGGAGGGGCCGCGGACGCCGCGCACAGUGACACGCGGAGCUGUCAGCCCGAACGCUCCGUACGCGUCGCACGGCCCCGCAUGAAUAAUACGGGCAAAUGGGAGACGUGGGAGCAAUGUCUUAAAGGAAAAAAAAGAAAGAAAGAAAGAAAAAAAAAACAGAAAAAGAAAAAAAGCAGACUCCGGAGCCACACUCAGCCAUGUGCCUGCGUCGGAGUUUAUGCUUAUGCGCGGCGAUGUUCAAUGCAUUUAGGCUGCCAGUUUGCCUUCCCCGGACCGUUCUCCCCACUCCCAGCCUCGCUCCCCUCCGCUACCCCUGGGGCCCCCGUCCUCGAGGACCAGGACAAACCAACCCUCCUCCCCAAAAACAGCUGCCAGAGGGAGGGAAGCCCCGUGGCGCUCCCGUUUCUCGCUGCCCCCCGGGACAGCCGUCACCCUCCCCCGGCUCCACCAGCGCGGAAAAUGAGCGGCCCGACGGCACCGACGGCUGCGAGGAGGCGGCCUUUUGGGGAGCACGGGCGUGAGGACACCCGCCUCAGGGUCACUCCCAAUGCAAAAAGCGAAACAAAGCAUCGGAAAAGGAAAGGAGGGGAAAAAGUGGGAAAAAUAAAUAAAUAAGAAUGAAAAGAAGAGGUACGGAUCGCAGCUCCUCCCCCCUGGGGACCCGGCCGACGGCCAACGCAGGGGCGCGGGGGUUGCCGGGCCUGUCCCGUCGCAGGUGGGGAGCGCCCCCCCCCGCAACGUACGGGCAGCGAGGGCACGAAGAGGAGCGCGGACGAAGACUCUGCACUUAUCACAUCUCCUUCCUGGAAGCCAAAUGCAGGGCAAUAUCUCACAACAUCUCCACAUGUUCCCUGCCCAUCACCAGACCUGCAGUUCUCAGGGCGAUGUUGCGUGGAAGGAGAGGAGCCAUGCAGUACGUAGACCCCACACCUGCACCAUGUAGAUGCACGGAUCCUGUGCUGGAAUGGCAGGGGAGAGCAGAGCCCAGCACUGCCUCUCUAAUUUGAGACAUGUCUGGAUGUAAAGCCGCGGUGUGUGUUGUCAAGUCCCGUUGUCUUCAACAUUUGUAAGUGAAGUGCCAUUCUCUUCAAAAAUCAUGUCCCACGUACCUCACAAAUCACCAAAGGUGAGGCACUCAAAUUAGAGAGUGCAUUCGAGAAGGAAGGUUUAAGUAAUUACACACUGUUAGGUUUUUUUGUAUUACAGUAAAGGAGGGUAUGAUCAGAUUAAACCUGGCAGACCUAGCUGGAACAGUUUAAGGAGUCUCCAUCACAGCUGUUUUUGCCAUGCCUCUGCCAGAGGCAGCCUCUUUCUCCCCACAACAGAGAAGCAGUGGGUGCUCCCCUCGGCUGCCUCACGUGCACACAUGAGCAGCACUGAGGAUUGCUGCAGUCACAGUUUGGGCAACUGCAUGUUCACUUAAAACGCUUGGAACUGACUAAUCCCUAAUUUUUUUACCAAUAUGUGAGUGAAAUGCGUUGGGGUUUUCUGAAUAAUUUUCCUUGCUGAAAUUUUUACGUCAUAGCCCAUGUGAUUGUUUUUCCAGAAACACACAGAUGCAAUUAAUUUUAAAAAUAACUCACUAGUAACAGCAACUAAACAUGGCUGUGUUUUUGCCCCUUACUUUCUAAGAUUUUUCAUUAAAAAAAAAAAAAGAGUUGUUUUGUUUCAUUUUCAUCCUUGUUUGCUGUUUUGUUUUCCCAUGGCAAAUAUCCAGGCUCUGUGGACACAGACUUUAUGCUGCUUGAGGGAGGAGAUGUGAAAAUGAUACCGUCCUUCAGAGAAUCAUAAUGUGAGCGAGGGAGAAGAAAACUUCCUCUGUGGUCUAUUUGUGCAUUACCAGGCAACCUUCCCGUGCCUCAAGAUCCUUCAUAUUCAGAUAUAUCAUCCUUACAUAACAGAUAGAUUGGAUGAAAUGUCAAAUGUAAACUGUGGACGCUUAGAAUUUCUAUUACUUCUAAAGUGAUUUUAAAAUAAAACAGGUCCAUUGGGAGAGACAUUGCAUUAGUACAUUUGCUAAUCCUAAAUUGUACUUUAAGAAAGAUUUUUGGCAGGGGUGGUUGAACAGACAUUUCUUAACAUUGCUUCAUUUUUAUAUUUUAUUAGACAGUCGAUCAGUAAGAAGGCUCCGCAGUCACCAGUUUUUCCUACCUCCAAGUUAGACUUGAGCUGCAAGCCAGGUGACCUCAUGUGCUUCUCCUAUUUGCCAAGCUGAAAGGAAGACGUCAGGCUUAGGUCUGCUACUGGAAGCCAUCUUCAGUGUAAAGAAAGAUAAAGAAUUUUGCAAAACAAUCAUCAAAAAUUCUGAAAUUUAUUUGCCACGCAAAACUAUUUGCAGAACAUCAGUACUGUUUUCUUGUUGUUGUUUUUUUUUUAAUUAUAUUUGACAAAUAAUAAAUUAUACAGACUCCUUAAUCCAAGUCAAUAUUCACUAGGAAAAUACUUACAUAAUCUUCAUAGUCAUGUUCUUCAAAAAACUGAAGCAAGUGCAUACGGCUCAGUUGCAUAUGGGACCUUUUAGAGCUGGACUGGGUGACCCACUGGGGUCCUUUCCUACCUGAAUUACACUGCCAUCCUAAAAAUCACUGUUUACUGUGCUUCUGAUGGACACAGACCAUAAAUUCCUGAUGCUAAAUAUCAAAGCCACUAGUGUAACCACCGUCUCCAGAACAGACUGAUCCCAAGAGAUUUGAUCAUGAUGGAGAUGCACAACACUUCUUCUUGGGAAAUAGAUUUAGAUGUAUUGCUGCUUCUGAAAUACUGGACCUUCUAUUCUUGGCUGUCACCGCAGGGAUUUGGGAUUUCUGUCUUGGUCAUGAGGGUACGUGACUUGGGGCAUGGGAGAGUGCAGGUUUGGGAGGGUGACCAAGCCAGACCCAUCCUACUCCAACACAGAAUUACCUCUCCAUUCUGUAGGGACUCACCCUCAGAUCUUCUACAUUGUUUCUACAAGGCCACGUUAAUUAAAGGAGAGGGGAACAAAAAGACCAAGAUCUGGGACAGAGGUUUUAAAGGGAAGUUUAUUCAGGUUUCUCCAUCCCACAAAAUGCAAACAGUGAAAGGAACAACCUAAAAACUGCAUGUCAGAAAACAAAGAAGGGGAAGGGACGGAUGUGCUUAGAAUGGAAAACACAGUCUUUAACUGCAAAUAUGAUUAUUUCUUGUCCAAUAUUUGUAUUUUUGUGUGUGUGGUGCUUUCCUCUGUAAACACUGCAGUUAGCAUAGGUUUAGCCAAACCCAAGUCAGGCAUCUCUUCAUCCCUAGCAGCAAUAUACUGUGAAAUUAAAAGGCUGAUUAAUGAAGUUGCCAUUCCGAUAGGCAGCUCUUACUGCUCUUCCAUAAUUCAAAGGGUGAGUCGAGAUACAGGUGUCGAUAGCUUAAAUGUAUGCUGACAUGCCUGGUGCUAAAGCGAUGGUAGAAGGGGAUGUUUGUAAAUGAUGGAAACAUUAUUUCAGCAAAGGAGCUCUUCAGAGCUGAAAACACAGAACCACAGCUAGCUGGUAAACAUCGGUGUUAAAUGCAGUGGGAAUCAGAGUAGCUGCAACUCAAGGUCUGAGCAGACUUCACACUGUUAGUGUGGGCUGGGGGAAAGAGAGUUUGCACACAGUGCUAGGUGACCCCAGAUGCUGGUGCUCACAUUUGUAAGCUGCCCUGCAACACUGGCCUCUGCCAGGGGCAAAGAAAGCUACAGAGCAGAGAGCCUUCUUUUUAAUGCAGUUUUCCUUGCUUAUUCAUUUUCUUUGCAUUUAACCCUAACAGAGAUUUACUUUGACAAUUGGGAGAAGGGAGGUAAGCGCAAGCAGGUGCAUGAGGCUUAGAUGCAGCUUGGAUAUGAUAACAAUAACAACAACAACAACAACAACAACAAAAUAAACUAACUGAAAAAAAAAAAAGGAAAAAAAAGCAGAAUAGCAAAUGUUAUAGUAUUAGGUUGAAUCUCCUUAAUGUAGCUCUUGCACAAAUCUGAAGCUAAGAGUAUUAGGUUCCUGAAUGUGACUGUGAUGUGAGACCUAACUAUGAAAUAAGUUUAUAUCAUAGAAUCACAGAAUCAUUGAAUAGCCUGGGUUGAAAAGGACCAUAAUGAUCCUUGAGUUUCAACCCCCCUACUAUGUGCAGGGUUGCCAAUCACUAGACCAGGCUGCCCAGAGCCACAUCCAACCUGGGAUAUAUAUUUGAAAUAUAUAUUUGAAAUGAUUGCCCAUAAUCCAUAAGUACUGACUCUCACCAGUCAGUAAUUAAUAAUUAAAAAAAAAAAGAAUAAACAGAUAUUUAACAUUUUAAUACACCCGUAAUGCGACCUCAGAUAUUUCAACAGACAGAGGUAUUCAUGGGUGGCUGAUGUUAACUGGUUGAAAAAUGCCUGGAGUGAACCAAAAUGUGUAAACUGAGAAUAAAAAAGCUUUUUUUUUUUUUUUAAUUGUCUAUUUAUUUAUUUAUUCUGUCUUUCUGACUAUUUUUCUCUUCAGCGGAAUGUCCUUCUUUCACAGCUUUCCCUUUGUUAGAUCCAGUGAGAUCCACCACUC
ensembl:lncRNA